rnacentral:rRNA from 1 species
CGUCUAUAUACGUAUAGCAUAUCAAUAAGCGGAGGAAAAGAAACUAACAAGGAUUCCCUUAGUAACGGCGAGUGAAGCGGGAAGAGCUCAAAUUUGAAAUCUUCAAGGUUCUACCUUGACGAAUUGUAGUUUAUAGAAGUGUUUUCUGUUAGUAGAGUGGCAAAAGUUCUUUGGAAUAGGACAUCAUAGAGGGUGAGAAUCCCGUAUUUGGUCAUUCUUUCUAGCUUUGUGAUACACUUUCAACGAGUCGGAUUGUUUGGGAAUGCAGUCCAAAAUGGGUGGUAAAUUUCAUCUAAAGCUAAAUAUUGGCGAGAGACCGAUAGCGAACAAGUACCGUGAGGGAAAGAUGAAAAGAACUUUGAAAAGAGAGUUAAACAGUACGUGAAAUUGUCAAAAGGGAAGCGCUUGACACCAGUGUUGUUUUCUCGAAAAUCAAUUAAAAAUGACCGGAUUUUGUGUUGUAUUGACUUUAUCAGCUUUCUGCACUUUUUUCUUGUCUUUUUUAAUGCACUUUUCGUUUAACAAGUCAACAUCAAUUUCUUUUGUUGUAAAAGAGUCAUUGGAAGGUGGCUUUCACUUCGGUGAAAGUGUUUAUAGCCUUUGACUUCUGCAAUCGGAGAGAUUGAGGUCUGCAGCGUAGAUCCUUCGGGGUUAGAUACAUUUGUGCUAAGUUAUAGUUUUUCAUAGACAACAUGUUGACUAUGAUUAAUCAUGUAGCUUACUCGCUUAUGCUAUUUUACCUACGCUUAGGAUGUUGACACACGCGCGUGCUCG